rnacentral:lncRNA from 1 species
UUCGAAUACAAAUUUUGCUAUUAACCAGAAUUUGUCUUAAAAUAAAAUUGUGCUAAAUCUUAUUGGGUUCUGAGUUUAUUCAAUACAAUUUUUUGUCCAGAUUUUGUGGACUUUGAUAAAGUUUUAACCAAUAGAGCAUAUUGUAAAAUAGUUGUUAGAAUGUGAUAGGCUUCUUCUACAGCUACACUUAGAUAAUUGAACACUAGGUAACAUCAAAAUUCUUCUCCUUUCAUUACUGUUAAAAACUGAUCUAAAUAGAAGUUGUAUGGACUAAAUUGGCCUUACAUUGUUUCAUAAACUUUCUAAUAACACCUGAUUAAUUACAUAAUGUAAGCCUUCAUUCAUUUGGGCUUAAUAAUAUGACGUUUGGGCCUAUUAUUGUUGGGCCCUGAUAUCUCAAGUUCCUACACUACACCUGCCAGAUUUUAACUUGCCUUUUGUUGUGGAAACAGACGCGUUUGCAGUAGCCGUGGGGGCUGUACUCAGCCAAAAGGGGCACCCGCUAUCCUUCUUCAGCAAGAAAAUGUGUCCAAGGCUCCAAGCUUCAUCUGUGUAUGUCCGAGAUAUGUAUGCAAUCACAGAAGUAGUAAAAAAAAUGGCGUCAGUACUUGUUAGGGCAACAUUUCAAAAUAAUCACAGAUAAAAAAAGUUUGAAUACACUUCAGUCACAAAAAAUACAAACUCCAGAACAACAAAGAUGGACAUCAAAGUUACAGGGAUAUGAUUUCCAAAUUCUAUACCGACCUGGUAAACAAAAUGUGGUUGCAGAUGCUCUCUCACGCCAAGACACAAAUUCGUCUUCAAUGUUGCUUGCACUCUCGUCGCCAAUACCAUUGUUGUUUGAAGAGUUACAACAAUUUUAUUCCACCAUAGAAGGAGCAAAAUUAGUUGACGCUUGCACUAAAGAUACACAAGGACCCAGCCUCUUCUCGGUCCGUCAUGGUCUACUAUUCUUUUGUCACCAAGUGUUUCUUCUAGAUACCAACAAUUUCAGAAACCGCAUCCUCCAAGAACUACAUGAAUCGCCCACAGCGGGUCAUUUCGGCAUUAACCCACCCUUGCUCGCAUUGUUGCUGCCUUCUACUGGCCGAGGUGGACUAGAGAUAUCAAGAACUACAUUCAACAAUGCACAACAUGUCAGCGUAACAAGUAUUUGCAAACAAAGCCCCAUGGAUUACUCACCAAGCGAUUCUCAGUUGAGAUUUGUCGUCUGCAUGGGCUGCCAAAAACCAUUGUCUCAGACCGAGAUCCCCUAUUUGUCAACACUUUUUGGAAACACCUAUUCAAGGCACAACAUUAAAGUUCAGUUCUGCUUACUAUCCGCAAACUGAUGGACAAACAAAAGUUCUUAAUCGAAGUUUGGAAGAUUACUUACGAUGCUUUGCUGGCGAACAUCCUCACACUUGGUUCCAAUAUCUUCAUCUAGCAGAACUUUGGCACAAUACGACUUACCACUAUGCCAUUGGAACCUCACCGUUCCAUGCUCUGUACGGAAGACAACCUCCCACCGCCCUAGAUCUGUUGCACAGUCCACGCUCAGGCACCACUGUUGCUGAUUUAUUGCACCAACACACGCUGGUUCUCCACGCCCUCAAACAAAACCUUCGUCGGGCCCGUCAACGAAUGUGCGACCAGGCCAACCGCCACCGAUCCGAACGCUCUUUUAACCCUGAUGACUGGGUAUGGGUACGUCUUCAACCUCACUGCCAGCAAUCGGUGAAGCGUCGUACAUGUUCGAAGCUCGCCCCUUGUUACUCGGGGCCUUAUCAAGUGCUCCGCCGCAUCGGCGCUAUGGCCUACGAACUCUGUUUACCAACCACCUCGCGAGUACACCCGGUAUUUCAUGUAUCCCUCCUCCAUGCUUUCAAAGGAACCCAUGUAGCCACUGACAUUAAUUCACUCUCUCACGCGGAUAGGGACUCGCCAAACUCUUUGAAUACCCCCACGCCUAACCCUAAAAGCCUUUCAAAUGUCCAACCACUUCACUCACCUAACUUUGAAACCCCUUCAGAAGAGCAAUUAAUGCCCCUAUCUAACUCUGCAUCACGUGACUCAACACUUUCCAACCAGCAUUUAAUAGCCCCACCUAACCCUGCAGAAUUUUUAAACCCGCCAUUAAGUGACUCACCUAACUCCCUGCCCCAACCACCCAUUCCAACCACUCACCAAAAGCCAUGUAAUGACCACACUACAGAUUCCCAAAUCCAAGACUUCACUCCUAACAAUUCUAUAACGUUCCAAAACAAUCCACAAAUAGGCCAGCCAAAUGUUCACCCUUUACACCCAACACAUCCUCAAGCCCAAUCCAAUAAUUACUCUUCAGCCCAAAUCAAUCCAACCACUCAAUUUGAGGACAGAGUGUUGGAACCGGCGGAUGGUACUGAUACAACAGGGCCCAACAAUAAUAGGCCCAAACGUCAGAUUAUUAAGCCCAAAUGGAUGAAGGAUUACUUUAUGUAAUUAAUCAGGUGUUAUUAGAAAGUUUAUGAAACCAUGUAAGGCCAGUUUGGCCCAUACAACUUCUAUUUAGGUCAGUUUUUAACAGUAAUUAAAGAAGAAGAAUUUUGAUGUUACCCUAGUGUUGAAUUAUCUUAGUGUAGUCGUAGAAGAAGCCUAUCAAUUGGUGCUUUCAUUGACCUUCUCAAUGCCUCCUCCUAAACCCCAAACCAAAGACCUAGAAGAAAUUCUACAAUCCAUUCAAGA